GACGAACGCUGGCGGCGUGCCUAAUACAUGCAAGUUGAGUGCUGAAGGUUGGUACUUGUACCAACUGGAUGAGCAGCGAACGGGUGAGUAACGCGUGGGGAAUCUGCCUUUGAGCGGGGGACAACAUUUGGAAACGAAUGCUAAUACCGCAUAAAAACUUUAAACACAAGUUUUAAGUUUGAAAGAUGCAAUUGCAUCACUCAAAGAUGAUCCCGCGUUGUAUUAGCUAGUUGGUGAGGUAAAGGCUCACCAAGGCGAUGAUACAUAGCCGACCUGAGAGGGUGGUCGGCCACAUUGGGACUGAGACACGGCCCAAACUCCUACGGGAGGCAGCAGUAGGGAAUCUUCGGCAAUGGACGAAAGUCUGACCGAGCAACGCCGCGUGAGUGAAGAAGGUUUUCGGAUCGUAAAACUCUGUUGGUAGAGAAGAACGUUGGUGAGAGUGGAAAGCUCAUCAAGUGACGGUAACUACCCAGAAAGGGACGGCUAACUACGUG
rnacentral:rRNA from 1 species